UACACCUCUUCUAUGAAAUCAAUAUACGUAGUCCCCCUUCUAGUCGCUAGGUGGCACCACAGCUUUAAAGCAGAGCCAAAAAACUGUGGAAUAACUUACCAUGGACGGUAUAUUCGCCAUCUAUGGUCUUAACCUCAUUCCUCUUUUUGUGCUUUGGUGGCACAUGUUCAUUUUUAUUCGGCGUCGGUGUUUUCAGCUUUUUUCAGCGUUUUUGGAAGUUAAAUGGAGAAGUACAAGUGAGAUUUACGUUAUUCCUUAUCGGAUGAAGAAAGAACCUACCUACGACGAAAGAUUAAAUCUUUCCAUCCGCGAUUACGUAAUCGCUAGUGGCGUGAUUCCCAUCAACGAGAUUUUCUUACAAUUGGGAGACGAUUUCUUCAUCGUCCGGGUUCCGAUCGGAAUCCCCAGAACUCGAAAGACCCCCCAUCUUUCCCACUUAUACGACAGCAGUCGUAUGUAAGUGUUUCACAAUUGGAAGCAAUCCUUUUGUGAGGGGGUCGGCCAUACAUAUGGUUUUAUAUUUUUUCGACAUCGAAAAAAUAGAGUUUUCUGGCUCGUCCGGCUAUGGAUGAGGCGCCCGGGAUACUGGGACAUAAUGAACAAUUUUUUAUGGCUGUUGGAAUGCAUUUACUCCAUCGUAAGUAUAUUUUUUAGGCCCUUCAAUUAAUUCUGAUGUCAUUGUUGAGCCCCUUGAGACGGAUUUAAAGCAAAAUGGCCUUUAAGCUAUGGGGUCGAUAGUCCCAACACAAAGUUUGAUGUGUCAUGACAUUUUGGCAAGUCAGAUUAAUACCUUUUUUGAAAUCCGGUGUGUCCGAAGAUUGUCUCAGUGACCUUUUGCGUUGAUAUCCUGUGCCGAAGAAUUGCCCGCUCAAUAACUCUCCUAAAUUGAAUGUGCAGAUGAAAUCUGCCAUCAACAAAGGUGGAAAGAAAAGGGAUGAGAGACUGACUGCAACAAGGGGUGCUUUGAUGGUGGUUGGUAGGACGCUCUUGACCUUGCUUUUGAAACCGGUUAAGGAUGAGUAGUACUUACUUCUCAUCGAAAUGUUGAGUAAUGCAAUAUUUGUUUUAAGCAAAAUACACCAUUUAGGUUCAGUAUAUAGAAGUUCAGCCGCGUUAAGCCUUUCGCUGGUCUCAAAUGAAAUGCAGCCUUGUAUGAAGGAAGUGCUCGUUGAUGCUUCUUUGCACUCUUGUUUAUAUGGAGAAGAUUUGGCUGAUAGGCUCAAAUCAAUCAGAUUAGCUGCAGAUUAGUGGCCGAGUUAAAGUCAGGUGCAUCCGGAACAAGGCUUUUAUAGCAUACAAAUUUAAACUCGACCGUCCCACUUCGUUCCCGGAAGUUGCAAGGCUGAAGUGGGUGAAAGUCAUUGUACCCUCAAAAGAGGGAAUACAGGAAGGUUUGAGAGGAAAGGGGGUGGAGUUGUGUCCCCAGGAAAAAAUAAACUCAAGAUGCACAGAUUCUACCUUGGUUAGAUGGAUAUAAAAUUCCAUUUGCGAGGCCAGUUAUACAGGACUUGAUUACGACAGAUCCUGUUUGGUCCCAACAAGAAAAAGAUUCAAUUUGUAAUGUGGUCAAACACCUGUUAGAGAUAGGUGCAAUUGCAGUUUGCGAACCUUGUAAGAAUCAAUUUAUUUUACAGAUCUUUUUGGUUUCAAAAUUGGAUGGUUCGGUUUGAUUAGUUUUAAAUUUAAAGAAACUGAAUGCUUUUAUUGACACUUGUCAUUUUAAACUGGAAGACAGAAAAUUAGUAGAAACACUCUUCACAAGGAAGUCCUUUAUGACCACUCUGGACUUGAAAGAAGCUUACUUUCUAGUCCCAAUAAUUGAAAAUCUAAAGAAUUUUCUAAGAUUUUAUUUUGAUGCUCUCUGUUAUCAGUUUAACAUGUUACCCUUUGGUUUAUGCACCGCCCCGUGGGCCUUUACAGAAUUAAUGAAAUCUGUGGUUUCUUAUCUCCCUGCCAAGGCUUUUCCCUCAAUAGUUUAUUUAGAUAACUUUACUAUUUGGUGAUAGUUAGCUAUCCUUAAAAAAUGUUCAAGUAACUUGCAACACACUGAUUAGGUUGGGUUAUGUUAUUAAUUAUAAGAAUGUUUUACAUCCUUCGAAAUCCCGUAAAUUUUUAGGUUUUGUUUUUUUUUUUUGAAUCCCACCACUUGUUUUUCUGAUGAGUAAGUAAGUUUUGCAAUUUGAACCGUUGCGAAAUAAGAGUCUUUGCCGAGCUUUGUGCUGUGCUAGUUUUCAGUUUGCCCAGCAGUUUGUUACAGUUGGGUAUAUACUAAGAAUUUUUGAGAGAAUCAAAUAUCUAGCCCUUCAAGACUCUAAUUAUGAUAUUUGGAUGAUAAUUCCUUGUAAUUUACGGAGGGAUUUUAUGUGAUGGCUAAAAAGUUUACAGAAUCCUGAAUGCCCUGUAAGGCAGCAAUGUUACAAACUUGAGAUUUUCUCAGAUGGUACUCCUUUGGGUUGGGGAAUUGUGCCAGAGGACUUUGGAGUCCUAGGGAAGCUCAGUUUCAUAUUAAUGCACUAGAAUUAACUGCGGCCUCAUUUGGUCUCUAAUGCUUCGCCUCGUAUUUGACUAACUGCGAGACACUUUUGAGGAUUGAUAACACAACUGCUAUUUUGUAUGUAAAUAGAAUAGGGUGAGUAAAAUUUCCUGUUUUAAACGAAAUUUCGAGGCGCCUUGGGGUUGGUGUGAAGAAAGGAGGUUAUGGGUUAAAGCAUCUUACAUUCGAUCUUCCGAUAAUUUUGAAGCGCAUAAGGAACCCACGAAUUUGAAUUUUGAUGGUGAAUGGUACCUUUCGGACAAUGCUUUUGCUAAAAUAACAAGCAAAUUUGGAUUCCCAUAAAUCGAACUGUUUGCUUCUCGCCUAAGUAAGAAAUGCGGAAAGUUUAUUUCCUAAUUUCCAGAUCCGGAGGCAUCUAAUGAAGACGCGUUUACUGUUUUUUGGAGCGACAGUUUCUUCUAUGUUUUCCCCCCGUUUUGCUUGUUGCCACUUGUUUUACGAAAAAUCAAGGCUGAUUGAGCUACAGGGAUCGCAGUAAUCCCUUACGGGCACAGCCAGCAUUGACAAAUUACCUUCUUCUUUUGACAGGAGAGGUCACCCUUUGUGGAAAUCCCUUACCCUGGCUGCAGGGAUUUUGUCAGGCAAGCAUUCCAGAAGAUUUGCUGGAUAUCAUCUGUUCAGAGCGCUACCUUGAGGCAUUUAAUACCUGCAUGCAUUUAAACUUUGGUGGAGCUUCUACGAAAGGAGGGGAGUGGAGUGUUAUUACUUCUCACCUAGGCUGUAUUAGAUUUCCUUACUAUUCAUUUUAGACAAGGCAAGUCCUAUGGCUCAUUGAGUUCUUUCAGUGCAGCACGGCCUUAUUUUUGGAUCAGAUUUAUUUAACAAUGCAAAUCUAACUAGGUUUUUUAAGGUGUUUAUAAUCUAAGGCCAAGUAAACCAAGAUAUAACAGCACUUGGGGCCCUAGUUAUGUCCCUGACUUUGUAAAAGGGUUACGUUCUAAUGACUUGUCAUUAAAGCAAUUAACUGUCAUUAAAACAAUUAAAUUAGUUUCUCCUACUGAAGUUAACGAUUGUACAUAGAGUCCCAACGCUCUCUCUUAUAGAAUUGGUCAACAUAAAAUCAUUUCCAGAUGGAUUAGAAAUUAGAAUAACGAAUCAAAUUAAGAUUUCAGCUAUAAAUAAGACUCGACCUGUUUUUUAAUUUUGCAUAAAUAUGAAGAUGUAAAUCUUUGUGUGGUUUCAAAUAUAUUAUUGAGAGGGCCAGUGCUUUAAGAGGCAGUGAAUCUCGUUUACUCAUUACAUUUAAAAAGCCUUGUAGGGCAGCAACUAUACCCAACAAAAGUAGAUGAAUAAAGAUAACUUUAGAAGAUAGUGGUGUCUACACUUUUAUUUUUACUGUUCACAGAACUCGACAUGCCUCAACAUCGUCUGCGUUUUGUAAAGGUGUUUCAUUUGAUAUGAUUGGAAAAACGGCAGAUUGGUGAGAAUGCUCUAAAUGUUUUCCCCUUUUUUAUAAUCGACCUAUUUGUACAGCAAGUGCAGGCCUUUUUGUUAAUGCCACAUUUGGGACAUAGAAUUUUUCAGAAGGUUUGUUUUCUCGGAUAGCCAUUUAUUUUGUAUUUGUACUCGAGGCUUUCAUAAACUUCCUGGAUUUCCUUAUAUAGCCGAAUAAAAUCGUUUUAUAACAAAUUUGCUGAGUUGCCUUUGAAAGUCUACGUAUAUUGAUUUCAUAGAAGAGGUGUAACAUAUAAUUCAAUGAUCAAACGAACUUACCUGGUAAGUGAAGUUCGAUCGUAAUUAUAUGUUACACCUCUUCGUAGAAAUCACCCAUUCCCGCCCAAUUUACUGUUCUGAACAGUACUAAAAUGCCCUUUGGCAAAUUUAUUAUAAACGGGCUUUAAAAUAGAAUGAGGUUAAGACCAUAGAUGGCGAAUAUACCGUCCAUGGUAAGUUAUUCCACAGUUUUUUGGCUCUGCUUUAAAGCUGUGGUGCCACCUAGCGACUAGAAGGGGGACUACGUAUAUUGAUUUCUACGAAGAGGUGUAACAUAUAAUUACGAUCGAACUU